CCCGCCCGCCUACGGGAGGCAGCAGUGGGGAAUUUUGGACAAUGGGGGCAACCCUGAUCCAGCCAUGCCGCGUGAGUGAAGAAGGCCUUCGGGUUGUAAAGCUCUUUCAGCAGGAACGAAACGGCGGAUGCCAAUACC
rnacentral:rRNA from 1 species